UACGAAGGGGGCUAGCGUUGUUCGGAAUUACUGGGCGUAAAGCGCACGUAGGCGGACUAUUAAGUCAGGGGUGAAAUCCCGGGGCUCAACCCCGGAACUGCCUUUGAUACUGGUAGUCUUGAGUUCGAGAGAGGUGAGUGGAAUUCCGAGUGUAGAGGUGAAAUUCGUAGAUAUUCGGAGGAACACCAGUGGCGAAGGCGGCUCACUGGCUCGAUACUGACGCUGAGGUGCGAAAGCGUGGGGAGCAAACAGG
rnacentral:rRNA from 1 species